rnacentral:rRNA from 1 species
GACGAACGCUGGCGGCGUGCUUAACACAUGCAAGUCGAACGGUAAGGCUCCAGCUUGCUGGGGGUACACGAGUGGCGAACGGGUGAGUAACACGUGGGUGACCUGCCCUGCACUUCGGGAUAAGCCUGGGAAACUGGGUCUAAUACCGGAUAGGACCGCACCGUGAGGGUGUGGUGGAAAGUUUUUCGGUGUGGGAUGGGCCCGCGGCCUAUCAGCUUGUUGGUGGGGUAAUGGCCUACCAAGGUGGCGACGGGUAGCCGGCCUGAGAGGGUGGACGGCCACAUUGGGACUGAGACACGGCCCAGACUCCUACGGGAGGCAGCAGUGGGGAAUAUUGCACAAUGGGCGGAAGCCUGAUGCAGCGACGCCGCGUGGGGGAUGACGGCCUUCGGGUUGUAAACUCCUUUCACCAUCGACGAAAGGUUUCUGACGGUAGAUGGAGAAGAAGCACCGGCUAACUACGUG